rnacentral:rRNA from 1 species
CAAUACUUAGUGGCAGACGGGUGAGUAACAUGUAGGUAUCUGCCCUUUGGCCUGGAAUAACACGAGGAAACUUGUGCUAAUACCGGAUAAGUCUUUACGGAGAAAGCUUUACGCACCAUUGGAUGAGCCUGCACUUGAUUAGUUUGUUGGUGGGGUAAUGGCCUACCAAGACUGUGAUCAAUAGCUGAUUUGAGAGGAUGAUCAGCCACAUUGGGACUGAGACACGGCCCAAACUCCUACGGGAGGCAGCAGUGGGGAAUCUUGCACAAUGGAGGAAACUCUGAUGCAGCGAUGCCGCGUGAGUGAAGAAGGCCUUUGGGUUGUAAAGCUCUUUCGUCGGGGAAGAAAAUGACUGUACCCGAAUAAGAAGGUCCGGCUAACUUCGUGCCAGCAGCCGCGGUAAUACGAAGGGACCUAGCGUAGUUCGGAAUUACUGGGCUUAAAGAGUUCGUAGGUGGUUGAAAAAGUUAGUGGUGAAAUCCCAGAGCUUAACUCUGGAACUGCCAUUAAAACUUUUCAGCUAGAGUAUGAUAGAGGAAAGCAGAAUUUCUAGUGUAGAGGUGAAAUUCGUAGAUAUUAGAAAGAAUACCAAUUGCGAAGGCAGCUUUCUGGAUCAUUACUGACGCUGAGGAACGAAAGCAUGGGUAGCGAAGAGGAUUAGAUACCCUCGUAGUCCAUGCCGUANACGAUGUGUGUUAGACGUUGGAAAUUUAUUUUCAGUGUCGCAGGGAAACCGAUAAACACACCGCCUGGGGAGUACGACCGCAAGGUUAAAACUCAAAUGAAUUGACGGGGACCCGCACAAGUAGU